GGGUAUAUAGCUCAGUGGUAGAGCAUUUGGCUGUAGACCGAGAGGUCUCCGGUUAGAACCCGGGUGUCCCCU